rnacentral:piRNA from 1 species
UGGUGACAAGAAGCACUUGGUCCUACAG